rnacentral:rRNA from 1 species
UAGGGUAUCUUCGGCAAUGGACGAAAGUCUGACCGAGCAACGCCGCGUGAGUGAAGAAGGUUUUCGGAUCGUAAAACUCUGUUGUUAGAGAAGAACAAGGACGUUAGUAACUGAACGUCCCCUGACGGUAUCUAACCAGAAAGCCACGGCUAACUACGUGCCAGCAGCCGCGGUAAUACGUAGGUGGCAAGCGUUGUCCGGAUUUAUUGGGCGUAAAGCGAGCGCAGGCGGUUUCUUAAGUCUGAUGUGAAAGCCCCCGGCUCAACCGGGGAGGGUCAUUGGAAACUGGGAGACUUGAGUGCAGAAGAGGAGGGUUGAAUUCCAUGUGUAGCGGUGGAAUGCGUAGAUAUAUGGAGGAACACCAGUGGCGAAGGCGGCUCUCUGGUCUGUAACUGACGCUGAGGCUCGAAAGCGUGGGGAGCAAACAGG